rnacentral:rRNA from 1 species
AUGCAAGUCGAGCGGGGGAAGGUAGCUUGCUACCGGACCUAGCGGCGGACGGGUGAGUAAUGCUUAGGAAUCUGCCUAUUAGUGGGGGACAACAUCUCGAAAGGGAUGCUAAUACCGCAUACGUCCUACGGGAGAAAGCAGGGGAUCUUCGGACCUUGCGCUAAUAGAUGAGCCUAAGUCGGAUUAGCUAGUUGGUGGGGUAAAGGCCUACCAAGGCGACGAUCUGUAGCGGGUCUGAGAGGAUGAUCCGCCACACUGGGACUGAGACACGGCCCAGACUCCUACGGGAGGCAGCAGUGGGGAAUAUUGGACAAUGGGGGGAACCCUGAUCCAGCCAUGCCGCGUGUGUGAAGAAGGCCUUAUGGUUGUAAAGCACUUUAAGCGAGGAGGAGGCUACUUUAGUUAAUACCUAGAGAUAGUGGACGUUACUCGCAGAAUAAGCACCGGCUAACUCUGUGCCAGCAGCCGCGGUAAUACAGAGGGUGCGAGCGUUAAUCGGAUUUACUGGGCGUAAAGCGUGCGUAGGCGGCUUAUUAAGUCGGAUGUGAAAUCCCCGAGCUUAACUUGGGAAUUGCAUUCGAUACUGGUGAGCUAGAGUAUGGGAGAGGAUGGUA